rnacentral:snoRNA from 1 species
GCAACAUAAAUCAGUGAAUCGCCUGUCAGAAAUAAAGUGCAGCAUUUCACUUUUGCAUUGUUGCUAGAACAUAAACUAGGAACAAGUUCAUCAGCUGAGCGCGCCGACAAAAGACUCAAAGCGCCCUCUUCUUAACUCUUGUCCACAGC